UAUCACGUUUUAUGCUUUUCGAAUGAGAUUUUAAUGAAUGUAAAUGUUAGCUUUUAGCCAAC
rnacentral:lncRNA from 1 species